GCGGAGGGUCGGAUGGCCGCGGGGCCCGAGGCUCCGAGGAAAGUCCGGACUCCCUGAAGCAACGGUGCCGGGUAACGCCCGGGCGGAGCAAUCCGACGGAAAGCGCCACAGAAAACAAACCGCCGGUCGUUCGACCGGUAAGGGUGAAACGGUGGGGUAAGAGCCCACCGCGGGACGGGCAACCGGACCGGCACGGCAAGCCCCACCGGGAGCAAUGCCAAAUAGGGAUCUCGCGGGGCGGAUAACCCCAGGGCCGCUUCAGCCCGAGAGAUCCGGGUUGGCAGCUAAAGCCAGCGGGCGACCGCUGGCAUAGAGGAAUGGUCAUCCAUGGGCGGGGCAACCCGCCCUGGACAAAAUCCGGCUUACAGACCCUCCGCGCGG
rnacentral:RNase_P_RNA from 1 species